UACGGAGGGUGCAAGCGUUGUCCGGAAUCACUGGGCGUAAAGGGUGCGCAGGCGGUUGUGUGUGUCAGGUGUGAAAGCCCGGGGCUUAACCCCGGAAUUGCGCCUGAAACUACAUGACUAGAGCAUUGGAGAGGGUAGCGGAAUUCACGGUGUAGCAGUGAAAUGCGUAGAUAUCGUGAGGAACACCAGAGGCGAAGGCGGCUACCUGGACAAUUGCUGACGCUCAGGCACGAAAGCGUGGGGAGCAAACAGG
rnacentral:rRNA from 1 species